GGUGACGACCCAGUGGUGGCUGUUGGGAAGCCAGCGUGUAGGAGGACGGCCUCGGGAUCACCUGCGGCUGCCUCUUCCUAAAAUGAGGUGAAAGUCUGAGGCAAAAAAACAGGGACCCCUGAGCUCAGGACCCUGGCCCAGAAGCUACUGCUGAUGGAGGGGAGCGCAGCCCUCAGGCCCACGUCUGCC